AGAAAAGCAGGGUUCUGGUGUCUUUAUGACCUGUACUCUCGUAUACUUUAGGGAAAUAAAUUUCAUCGUUAUUGGGUGAACCAUUGCUAAUUAUCAAUGGCAUAUGGUUCAGUAAACAAUGAUACACAU